GACGAACCGUGCGAACGUUGUUCGGAAUCACUGGGCUUAAAGGGCUCGUAGGCGGCCAACUAAGUCAGACGUGAAAUCCCUCGGCUUAACCGGGGAACUGCGUCUGAUACUGGAUGGCUUGAGUUUGGGAGAGGGAUGCGGAAUUCCAGGUGUAGCGGUGAAAUGCGUAGAUAUCUGGAGGAACACCGGUGGCGAAGGCGGCAUCCUGGACCAACACUGACGCUGAGGGAGCGAAAGCCAGGGGAGCAAACGGG
rnacentral:rRNA from 1 species